UACGUAGGGCGCAAGCGUUAUCCGGAAUUAUUGGGCGUAAAGAGCUCGUAGGCGGUCUGUCGCGUCGGCUGUGAAAACCCGGGGCUCAACCCCGGGCCUGCAGUCGAUACGGGCAGACUAGAGUGCGGUAGGGGAGACUGGAAUUCCUGGUGUAGCGGUGAAAUGCGCAGAUAUCAGGAGGAACACCGAUGGCGAAGGCAAUCCCCUGGACCUGUACUGACGCUCAUGCACGAAAGCGUGGGGAGCAAACAGG
rnacentral:rRNA from 1 species